rnacentral:rRNA from 1 species
CACGUAGGGGGCAAGCGUUGUCCGGAAUCAUUGGGCGUAAAGCGCGUGUAGGCGGUCCGGUAAGUCCGCUGUGAAAGUCCAGGGCUCAACCCUGGGAUGCCGGUGGAUACUGUCGGGCUAGAGUACGGAAGAGGCGAGUGGAAUUCCCGGUGUAGCGGUGAAAUGCGCAGAUAUCGGGAGGAACACCAAUUGCGAAGGCAGCUCGCUGGGACGUUACUGACGCUGAGACGCGAAAGCGUGGGGAGCAAACAGG